ACUAGUGAAUCUAAGCAGUUCUGCAGGUAACAAGCCACACAGACCUGCAAUGUCCCGUUCUCUGACACUAUAGCACGAAAAGGAAUCUCUUGCUUAUAGGUCUUCGCAGAGAAAAACAGUUGUAAGCUGAGCAAUUUUGCUUUCUUGACAUUAGAGACAAUCCUAUCUAGAUUAUACCUAGACAGGAGGUCGACCGCACGUUGCUUAACUGCCGAAGGCUUGAUGCAUGUUUUAUCA
rnacentral:lncRNA from 1 species